UACGAGAGGCCCAAACGUUAUUCGGAUUUACUGGGCUUAAAGAGUUCGUAGGCGGUGCAGAUAGUGGGGUGUGAAAGCCCUCGGCUCAACCGAGGAAUUGCGCUCCAAACUACUGUGCUAGAGGAACCUAGAGGUGAGCAGAACAGAUGGUGGAGCGGUGAAAUGCGUAGAUAUCUGGAGGAAUACCGGUGGCGAAGGCGGCAUCCUGGACCGGCAUUGACGCUGAGG
rnacentral:rRNA from 1 species